rnacentral:lncRNA from 1 species
AUUGAACUUUGAACUGAUGUCAAGAAAACUUGUUCCAUUCUGAUAAUUUUCAUUACUGGAAUUUCCAUAAACUUUCCUCUUUUCUUCACUCCUCUUUUUAUCAAAUACUUAUUUGUUAUUUUGGGGUAAAUCAAUCUGUAGAAAAUCAGCUAAGGGAGCUACCAUUUGAUUUUUAUGGGGGGGCUAGGAUGAAAAAUGUUGGCCUGCAUUUCUUUUUAGUUGUAAUCUCUGUCCUGUUUUUUUAUUUUUAACUCUUUUCAGUCCUGCUUAUUUUUUUUUUAUAUAAAUGACAUCCUUUUUUUUAUUUUUUUGCUAAGUUUUUCAUCCAGUCUUUUUUUCUCUCUCAAAUCUCAUGUCCUGCCUUUUUUGUUUUGUUUUUAAAGUAUAUCCUUAAGUGCCGCCCCCCCCCCCCCACCCCCUAAAAAAUAUAUCAAAUCAAACAGUAGCUCCCUUAUACUUCAAAUUUAAUUUCCAUUUUGAAAAAAGUCCAGAUAAAGUUGUAGAGUUAAAUAAAGAGUAUUGUGGCGUAAUUUCAGCACUUACAACUCUAAGUGUGGUAACAGUGCUUUAAAAUGCUGCCAGAGAAGCUGAAACCCCAGGCUUAAACUUUCAUUUAAAGUUUUGACAAUUUCUUCAGGAAACUUAUGUACUUUGUUUUAGCAGACUUUUGAACUUUGAACUAAUCUGCAGGAAAAACAAUGAUUUUUUUC